rnacentral:rRNA from 1 species
UACGUAGGGUGCAAGCGUUAAUCGGAAUUACUGGGCGUAAAGCGUGCGCAGGCGGUUUUGUAAGUCUGUCGUGAAAUCCCCGGGCUUAACCUGGGAAUUGCGUUGGAGACUGCAAGGCUGGAGUCUGGCAGAGGGGGGUAGAAUUCCACGUGUAGCAGUGAAAUGCGUAGAGAUGUGGAGGAACACCGAUGGCGAAGGCAGCCCCCUGGGUCAAGACUGACGCUCAUGCACGAAAGCGUGGGGAGCAAACAGG